GAGUAUGAUUGAAUAAGCAAGAACUGCUAAUUACUUGCUUCUAUGGUUUGAUUCCACAGCAAACUCG
rnacentral:tRNA from 2 species